rnacentral:lncRNA from 1 species
GUGUGUGUGUGUGUGUGUGUGAGAGAGAGAGUGAGAGAGUGUGUGAGUGUGUGGUUUGUGUGUGAGUGUGUGGUUUGUGUGUGAGAGUGAGAGAGUGUGUGAGUGUGUGGUUUGUGUGUGAGAGUGAGUGUGUGUGUGUGGUUUGUGUGUGUGUGUGUGUGGUUUGUGUGUGGUUUGUGUGGGAGAGUGAGAGAGUGUGUGUGAGUGUGUGGUUUGUGUGUGAGAGUGAGUGUGUGUGUGUGUGGUUUGUGUGUGAGUGUGUGUGUGUGGUUUGUGUGUGUGUGUGUGUGUGUGUGUGUGGUUUGUGUAGUCGGUCGGUGGCCCGGUGACGUGGCUCGGUGAGUGAAUUACGUGCAUUUUCCCCGUGAGCCCCGGAUCUACAGCACAUUCACGGAAUAAAAACGAUCCGUCUGAACAGAAUGGCCAGCAGAGACGCACUGAAGACAGAUGAAGGUCUGAUGAUGAUGCAGGAGCUGGAGGACCGACUCAAGGAACACACGGAUAAACUGGAGCAUGUGCGUCUGUCUGCCGUGGAGCUGAGAAAUGCUCUAUCAGGGAAUAAUGACGGUAUGCAGCAGUGUAUCUCUGAACACAUGGAGUGGCUCUCGCAGAUGACCGAUCGCGUGGAGACGCUACAGAUGAACACCACUGUCUUUGUGCAGAUGAGUGCCAAGCCACGCAGCUUUCGGGUCAAACAGCAGGGGCUCAGAAGCACUGGCCGCUGGGGCCGCUGUCAUGUGACUGAUGAUGCCCAAUCAGAGUAUGGCUGGUCUCCCGUCCGCACCAGACGCAACAGUGACGCGGCGUCUGAGAUGUCGUGUGCAUGGUAGAAACGCUAAGCUACACUCACAUCAAGAUCGUGUGAUUGUUGCUCUUCAUUUACUGUCAGCGUAACAUUUCCUUUUCCAAAAGUGACCACUGUAAAGGUAGCCUGCUGUUUUUGUUUCAUACAGUUUACAGUGUAAUUAAAAAGUGUUUGUUGUUCCAAACCUAAAUGAUUUUUCUUCUUUAUAACAUAAAGCAAGAUUUUCU